UACAGGGGGGGCAAGCGUUGUUCGGAAUUACUGGGCGUAAAGGGUUUGUAGGUGGCCACUUAAGUCAGACGUGAAAUCCCUCAGCUUAACUGGGGAACUGCGUGUGAUACUGGAUGGCUUGGAUUUGGGAGAGGGAUGCGGAAUUCCAGGUGUAGCGGUGAAAUGCGUAGAUAUCUGGAGGAACACCGGUGGCGAAGGCGGCAUCCUGGACCAAUAUUGACGCUGAGGAGCGAAAGCCAGGGGAGCAAACGGG
rnacentral:rRNA from 1 species